UACAGAGGUCUCAAGCGUUGUUCGGAUUCAUUGGGCGUAAAGGGUGCGUAGGUGGCGCCGUAAGUCGGGUGUGAAAUUUCGGAGCUUAACUCCGAAACUGCAUUCGAUACUGCCGUGCUUGAGGACUGGAGAGGAGACUGGAAUUUACGGUGUAGCGGUGAAAUGCGUAGAUAUCGUAAGGAAGACCAGUGGCGAAGGCGGGUCUCUGGACAGUUCCUGACGCUGAGGCGCGAAAGCUGGGGGAGCAAACGGG
rnacentral:rRNA from 1 species